GACGAACGCUGGCGGCGUGCCUAAUACAUGCAAGUCGAGCGGACGGAUGGGAGCUUGCUCCCAGACCGUCAGCGGCGGACGGGUGAGUAACACGUGGGCAACCUGCCUGUAAGACUGGGAUAACUCCGGGAAACCGGGGCUAAUACCGGAUAACUCUUUCCCUCACAUGAGGGAAAGCUGAAAGAUGGCAUCUCGCUAUCACUUACAGAUGUGCCCGCGGCGCAUUAGCUAGUUGGUGAGGUAACGGCUAACCAAGGCGACGAUGCGUAGCCGACCUGAGAGGGUGAUCGGCCACACUGGGACUGAGACACGGCCCAGACUCCUACGGGAGGCAGCAGUAGGGAAUCUUCCGCAAUGGACGAAAGUCUGACGGAGCAACGUCGCGUGAGUGAUGAAGGUUUUCGGAUCGUAAAACUCUGUUGUCAGGGAAGAACAAGUACCGGAGUAACUGCCGGUACCUUGACGGUACCUGAACAGAAAGCCACGGCUAACUACGUG
rnacentral:rRNA from 1 species